rnacentral:lncRNA from 1 species
CGGAGCCGGCGGGUCCCGGCUGCCCGAGACAGUCACUGCCCUGACGGCGGCGGUGGCGGCCGCUGGCCGGUGGGGGUGGGGAGCGGCACGGCCCGGGCUGCUGGGGCAGCUGGAGCUGGCCGUCGCCGGGAGCCAAGAGGCGGAUCUGCAGCUGGGAGCGCACCCCAGGCCGGCAGAGGAGGCGGCUGCAGCCGGAUCCGGGAGCGCUGCUGGUGGCGGCGUCUCGCGCAGCCAGUGCCUGAGGCGGCGGCGGGGCCCGAGUUACUUAUGGAAAUUGUGGAUUACCUGGACAUCUUAAGACCCAGGAACCCGUUUAUUAAGAAUCUGCUGUCUUGAAAAAUGCAUUUUAUGAAUGCUUUGAAUUAAGAAGGUGUAAACAGUGGUUUGUCAUUUCUGCCACAUAAGAGAUAAUCUGAAUCUUCCCUCGCAGUUGCCCAGAUGCCUAAAACUGGCAAGAACUAGUACUUGGAGUGGUCAUCCUUCAACAGGAAAUACAGAGCUACCUAUGUACUAUAUAAAUGUUAUCUCUUUGAUAACAUUUAAGAUAAUGGACUGCUUUUCUACAUCUAAUUUUCAUACACACAAUUAACACUUGGAGUCUGGAGAAGCAUUUGUUAUGUAUUGAAAGACUGAGUUUUCUCUUUUUGAGUUUUCCAGAUUUAUUAUUUCAUCUGUAUGUUUGAAAUCUCUACAGUCACAUAAACUCCAGACAUAACGAUGGAGCUAUAUGACCCAUCAAGAUAUACAAAAACUAUUGGCAAGCUUUGGAACCAGUUGUUUUUGCAUCUGUUCAACAAUUAAUAUAUUCUCUGCUAAUCAAGAAUAUGGAAGCAAAUAUAGUCAUGCACAUUGUAUUGAUAAAUUGUGACUGUUGAAUUUUUCUGUAACUGGUUACUUUUGUCAUUCAAAUGCAAGUUAUGUCCAAAUGGAUAUAAAGACUAUAUUGGUGUACCUAGCUCCUAGCCAGUG